rnacentral:rRNA from 1 species
UUUCCCUCAGGAUAGCUGGCACUCGUUUAUUUAACGAGUCUCAUCUGGUAAAGCGAAUGAUUAGAGGCCUUGGGGCCGAAACGACCUCAACCUAUUCUCAAACUUUAAAUGGGUGAGAUCUCUGGCUUGCUUGAAUUGUGAAGCCAUGAGAUAAGGGGGAGGGUCUCCUCGUGGGGCCGUCCCCCAUCGGAUCAGAGUGCCAAGUGGGCCAAUUUUGGUAAGCAGAACUGGCGCUGUGGGA